rnacentral:rRNA from 1 species
GAUGAACGCUGGCGGCGUGCCUAAUACAUGCAAGUCGAGCGAACAGACGAGGAGCUUGCUCCUCUGACGUUAGCGGCGGACGGGUGAGUAACACGUGGAUAACCUACCUAUAAGACUGGGAUAACUUCGGGAAACCGGAGCUAAUACCGGAUAAUAUAUUGAACCGCAUGGUUCAAUAGUGAAAGACGGUUUUGCUGUCACUUAUAGAUGGAUCCGCGCCGCAUUAGCUAGUUGGUAAGGUAACGGCUUACCAAGGCAACGAUGCGUAGCCGACCUGAGAGGGUGAUCGGCCACACUGGAACUGAGACACGGUCCUGACUCCUACGGGAGGCAGAAGUAGGGAAUCUUCCGCAAUGGGCGAAAGCUUGACGGAGCAACGCCGCGUGAGUGAUGAAGGUCUUCGGAUCGUAAAACUCUGUUAUUAGGGAAGAACAAAUGUGUAAGUAACUAUGCACGUCUUGACGGUACCUAAUCAGAAAGCCACGGCUAACUACGUG